CGGAGGAAAAGAAACUAACAAGGAUUCCCCUAGUAACUGCGAGUGAAGCGGGAAAAGCUCAAAUUUAAAAUCUGGCGGUCUUCUGGCCGUCCGAGUUGUAGUCUGGAGAAGCGUUUUCCGCGUUGGACCGUGUACAAGUUUCCUGGAACGGAGCGUCAUAGAGGGUGAGAAUCCCGUCUUUGACACGGAUCCCAAUGCUUUGUGAUGCGCUCUCAAAGAGUCGAGUUGUUUGGGAAUGCAGCUCAAAAUGGGUGGUGAAUUCCAUCUAAAGCUAAAUAUUGGCGAGAGACCGAUAGCGAACAAGUACCGUGAGGGAAAGAUGAAAAGCACUUUGGAAAGAGAGUUAAACAGUACGUGAAAUUGUUGAAAGGGAAACGCUUGAAGUCAGUCGCGUCGGCCGGGACUCAGCCUUGCAUCCGCUUGGUGUACUUUCCGGUCGACGGGCCAGCAUCAGUUUUGACCGCGAGAUAAAGGCGGAGGGAAUGUGGCUCUCUCGGGAGUGUUAUAGCCCUUCGUCAGAUGUCGCGGUUGGGACUGAGGAACUCAGCACGCCUUUAUGGCCGGGGCUCGCCCACGUACGUGCUUAGGAUGCUGGCGUAAUGGCUUUAAACGACCC
rnacentral:rRNA from 1 species